rnacentral:rRNA from 1 species
GACGUAGGGUGCAAGCGUUGUCCGGAUUUAUUGGGCGUAAAGGGCUCGUAGGCGGCCAACUAAGUCGGAUGUGAAAUCCCCAGGCUCAACCUGGGAACUGCAUCCGAUACUGGAUGGCUUGAAUUCGGGAGAGGGAUGCAGAAUUCCAGGUGUAGCGGUGAAAUGCGUAGAUAUCUGGAGGAAUACCGGUGGCGAAGGCGGCAUCCUGGACCGACAUUGACGCUGAGGAGCGAAAGCCAGGGGAGCAAACGGG